rnacentral:rRNA from 1 species
AAUAGAUACCCAGGUAGUCCACGCCGUAAACGAUGAAUACUCGGCAUCUGAAGGGCGAUUUUCGUCCCUCGGGUGCCCUAGCUAACGCGAUAAGUAUUCCGCCUGGGAACUACGAGCGCAAGCUUAAAAACUCAAAGGAAUUGACGGGGGCCCGCACAAGCAGCGGAGCGUGUGGUUUAAUUCGAAGCAACGCGAAGAACCUUACCUGGAUUUGACAUCCUCUGAAGUUAGUAGAGAUAUUAAUGGCCCGCAAGGGACAGAGAGACAGGUGCUGCAUGGCUGUCGUCAGCUCGUGUUGUGAAAUGUUGGGUUAAGUCCCGCAACGAGCGCAACCCCUAUCUUUGGUUGCCAUCAUUAAGUUGGGCACUCCAGAGAGACUGCCGUCGUCAAGACGGAGGAAGGUGGGGAUGACGUCAAGUCCUCAUGGCCUUUAUAUCCAGGGCGACACACGUGCUACAAUGGGGGGUACAAAGGGCUGCUACCUGGUGACAGGAUGCCAAUCUCAAAAAACCCUCUCUCAGUUCAGAUUG